GAUGAACGCUGGCGGCGUGCCUAAUACAUGCAAGUCGAGCGAACGGACGAGAAGCUUGCUUCUCUGAUGUUAGCGGCGGACGGGUGAGUAACACGUGGAUAACCUACCUAUAAGACUGGGAUAACUUCGGGAAACCGGAACUAAUACCGGAUGAUAUUUUGAACCGCAUGGUUCAAAAGUGAAAGACGGUCUUGCUGUCAUUUAUAGAUGGAUCCGCGCUGCAUUAGCUAGUUGGUAAGGUAACGGCUUACCAAGGCAACGAUGCAUAGCCGACCUGAGAGGGUGAUCGGCCACACUGGAACUGAGACACGGUCCAGACUCCUACGGGAGGCAGCAGUAGGGAAUCUUCCGCAAUGGGCGAAAGCCUGACGGAGCAACGCCGCGUGAGUGAUGAAGGUCUUCGGAUCGUAAAACUCUGUUAUUAGGGAAGAACAUAUGUGUAAGUAACUGUGCACAUCUUGACGGUACCUAAUCAGAAAGCCACGGCUAACUACGUG
rnacentral:rRNA from 1 species